rnacentral:rRNA from 1 species
GAUGAACGCUGGCGGCGUGCCUAAUACAUGCAAGUCGAGCGAACGGACGAGAAGCUUGCUUCUCUGAUGUUAGCGGCGGACGGGUGAGUAACACGUGGAUAACCUACCUAUAAGACUGGGAUAACUUCGGGAAACCGGAGCUAAUACCGGAUAAUAUUUUGAACCGCAUGGUUCAAAAGUGAAAGACGGUCUUGCUGUCACUUAUAGAUGGAUCCGCGCUGCAUUAGCUAGUUGGUAAGGUAACGGCUUACCAAGGCAACGAUGCAUAGCCGACCUGAGAGGGUGGUCGGCCACACGGGAACUGAGACAAGGUCCAGACUCCUAAGGGAGGCAGCAGUAGGGAAACUUCCGCAAUGGGCGAAAGCCUGACGGAGCAACGCCGCGUGAGUGAUGAAGGUCUUCGGAUCGUAAAACUCUGUUAUUAGGGAAGAACAUAUGUGUAAGUAACUGUGCACAUCUUGACGGUACCUAAUCAGAAAGCCACGGCUAACUACGUG